AGUUGUGAUUGGUCCUGUUGAGGAACAUGGAAGGGACAAUGUCUUGAAGGAGUCCAUAUUGAUCAGGAGGAAGUUGUUGUUGAUAUUGUUGAAGAAAUGAGUUGUUAAUGUUGUUGUGUGAGUAAACGGAACCAGCAACGUUAUUAGUAGUAUGUGUUGUUGGUUGGGUGAUAUUGAAGGUGUUGUGGUGGUGCAUGUGGAGAAGAAGAUCUUGAGGGAAGUUUGACCCAUAUGAGAAAGGUGUAGGUGUAGAUAGCAAAUUAGAAGGUGUGAACAUUGCAGCCGCAUUGCCUCUUAGGGAAGUGGGGACAGGAUGAUUAUGCUGACCUUCAUAUGUUGUUAUCACAGUUGUUGGGUCUUCAUAUGAUCUUUCUACGCGUUUUUUCACUGUACAUUUCUGUGUUGUACACCUGUAAUAGCUCCUGCAAUAUCAAAUGCAAUUUCUCAUUAUCAAAUCAUUCAUCAAAUUAAUUAAUGCUAAGAAAUAUAUACAAG
rnacentral:lncRNA from 1 species